CUGGCAGUCUGGUUACUGAAAUUCUACAAUCCCCUUUUGGACCAGGCUCACCUUGUUGUCCCGACGCUAACCGUUCAGUGACGACACCGAACACCAUCCCAUAAAGCAGUAAGAGCGUUUUAUCAAACCAAACCAGAGCGAGCGCCGGGCGGUCCCUCCGCCGCUCCGUCCCUGGUGCGCGGGGUGGCCCCUGUGUAUUCAGCCGUGCGGACCCUCGCGCCUUGGAUCAAAACCCCAGUUUUUCACCCGUAACCAAGCCACCCAAAGCCAGACCGCGGGUAUAUGCUGCCGCCCGCGUUGCGCUGCGCAGGGCCCGGAGGGCAGCCCCGCCUGCGGGGAGCGGCCGCCAGC